UACAGAGGGUGCGAGCGUUGUUCGGAAUUAUUGGGCGUAAAGGGCGCGUAGGCGGCGCCACAAGUCACCUGUGAAAACUCUGGGCUCAACCCAGAGCCUGCAGGCGAAACUGUGGUGCUGGAGUAUGGGAGAGGUGCGUGGAAUUCCCGGUGUGGCGGUGAAAUGCGUAGAUAUCGGGAGGAACACCUGUGGCGAAAGCGGCGCACUGGACCAUAACUGACGCUGAGGCGCGAAAGCUAGGGGAGCAAACAGG
rnacentral:rRNA from 1 species